GCAAAACAGCGCGAGGGCUGGCUUGACUGUCGUUUUCGAAGUGGAGGCUGGCUUGACUGCAGUAAUGAAGGUGGGACUAAAAUUUAACAGAUGGAGGUGAGGAUAGAGUGCAGGGAGCUGCUGGCCGUGGACAGGGGCUGGAUGAGGGACAUGAACUGUGUGCGGGUCUCCUGGUGUCCCAAAGCCGACACACAUAUCGCGAAAAACCCUUCUGGAUCCUCUCGACCCACCAGCACUUCCCUUAACAUCUUUCUGACCAAGGCUUUACUGUCUUCGGCACCAGCCGCUGCUGAAGGAGGCAUCUUAAAGUGAAAGGUGACGAGAUACUAUCUGUAUCAAAUGCUGUAAAACUCCUGUGAACAUAUAUAUAUCUAAUACAUAGUUUUAACUCAAUCAUUUAGAUCAAAAUGAUCUCCACGUCCGGAACCUGCCCUCAGUGCUGGUUACCAAACAACAGCUGGUUUUGAGUUACACAAGCCAUGUGUCAGUGUUUUGUAACCUGGUUUGUAAUGGUUUAAUAUAGCCAGUAGGGGGCGUACAAGUCUAAUAAAUAAGAGCCAUGUAGUGAGGCCAGUGAAACCCAUAGGUGCCUGGCUGUUCACGGGAUGUGAGGAACAGUAGGGAAUCCCUGUUUACAUUUCAUUAAUUACGGAUUAGAGAGAUUUGGAUGCAAUAAAUGCUAUGUCUGGUU